rnacentral:rRNA from 1 species
UACGGAGGAUGCGAGCGUUAUCCGGAUUUAUUGGGUUUAAAGGGUGCGUAGGCGGUCCGUUAAGUCAGCGGUAAAAUUGCGGGGCUCAACCCCGUCGAGCCGUUGAAACUGGCAGACUUGAGUUGGCGAGAAGUACGCGGAAUGCGCGGUGUAGCGGUGAAAUGCAUAGAUAUCGCGCAGAACUCCGAUUGCGAAGGCAGCGUACCGGCGCCACACUGACGCUGAGGCACGAAAGCGUGGGGAUCGAA